GAUGAACGCUGGCGGCGUGCCUAAUACAUGCAAGUCGAGCGAACAGACGAGGAGCUUGCUCCUCUGACGUUAGCGGCGGACGGGUGAGUAACACGUGGAUAACCUACCUAUAAGACUGGGAUAACUUCGGGAAACCGGAGCUAAUACCGGAUAAUAUAUUGAACCGCAUGGUUCAAUAGUGAAGGACGGUUUUGCUGUCACUUAUAGAUGGAUCCGCGCCGCAUUAGCUAGUUGGUAAGGUGACGGCUUACCAAGGCAACGAUGCGUAGCCGACCUGAGAGGGUGAUCGGCCACACUGGAACUGAGACACGGUCCAGACUCCUACGGGAGGCAGCAGUAGGGAAUCUUCCGCAAUGGGCGAAAGCCUGACGGAGCAACGCCGCGUGAGUGAUGAAGGUCUUCGGAUCGUAAAACUCUGUUAUUAGGGAAGAACAAAUGUGUAAGUAACUAUGCACGUCUUGACGGUACCUAAUCAGAAAGCCACGGCUAACUACGUG
rnacentral:rRNA from 1 species